rfam:Fictibacillus phosphorivorans strain G25-29, complete genome.
UAGUCCUUUAACUUUAGUCCCGUGAGGCUGAGAAGGAAACGUUAUUCAUGAGAAUUCUUGUUUUAGGAUUUCUCUAUCCUCUCGUCAUGUGACGGGAGGAUUUUUUUU